GGGUUGUGAGGUUAAGCGACUAAGCGUACACGGUGGAUGCCCUGGCAGUCAGAGGCGAUGAAGGGCGUGCUAAUCUGCGAUAAGCGCCGGUAAGGUGAUAUGAACCGUUAUAACCGGCGAUACCCGAAUGGGGAAACCCAGUGUGACUCGUCACACUAUCAUUAACUGAAUCCAUAGGUUAAUGAGGCGAACCGGGGGAACUGAAACAUCUAAGUACCCCGAGGAAAAGAAAUCAACCGAGAUUCCCCCAGUAGCGGCGAGCGAACGGGGAGGAGCCCAGAGCCUGAAUCAGCAUGUGUGUUAGUGGAAGCGUCUGGAAAGGCGCGCGAUACAGGGUGACAGCCCCGUACACAAAAGCGCAUGUGUUGUGAGCUCGAUGAGUAGGGCGGGACACGUGGUAUCCUGUCUGAAUAUGGGGGGACCAUCCUCCAAGGCUAAAUACUCCUGACUGACCGAUAGUGAACCAGUACCGUGAGGGAAAGGCGAAAAGAACCCCGGCGAGGGGAGUGAAAAAGAACCUGAAACCGUGUACGUACAAGCAGUGGGAGCCCCACCACCAAAGCAUUCUCUGGUGUUGAAGGCCCUGCAAAGCAGCAUCGCGGUGGCGGAGCGUCGUUUGCGACGCCCAACACACAAAACAAGCGGUGAGUGCUUUGGGGUGGGGUGACUGCGUACCUUUUGUAUAAUGGGUCAGCGACUUAUAUUCUGUAGCAAGGUUAACCGAAUAGGGGAGCCGGAGGGAAACCGAGUCUUAACCGGGCGUUAAGUUGCAGGGUAUAGACCCGAAACCCGGUGAUCUAGCCAUGGGCAGGUUGAAGGUUGGGUAACACUAACUGGAGGACCGAACCGACUAAUGUUGAAAAAUUAGCGGAUGACCUGUGGCUGGGGGUGAAAGGCCAAUCAAACCGGGAGAUAGCUGGUUCUCCCCGAAAGCUAUUUAGGUAGCGCCUCGUGAAUUCAUCUCCGGGGGUAGAGCACUGUUUCGGCUAGGGGGCCAUCCCGGCUUACCAACCCGAUGCAAACUGCGAAUACCGGAGAAUGUUAUCACGGGAGACACACGGCGGGUGCUAACGUCCGUCGUGAAGAGGGAAACAACCCAGACCGCCAGCUAAGGUCCCAAAGUCAUGGUUAAGUGGGAAACGAUGUGGGAAGGCCCAGACAGCCAGGAUGUUGGCUUAGAAGCAGCCAUCAUUUAAAGAAAGCGUAAUAGCUCACUGGUCGAGUCGGCCUGCGCGGAAGAUGUAACGGGGCUAAACCAUGCACCGAAGCUGCGGCAGCGAACGUAUCACUUAAAGCGAUUCAGCGGGUUACGAUUGACGGAGCGAAGCGACGUCAAAGCGUAUACAAAGUCGAGUCGGUUUAAGGAUUCGUUCGUUGGGUAGGGGAGCGUUCUGUAAGCCUGUGAAGGUGGCCUGUGAGGGUUGCUGGAGGUAUCAGAAGUGCGAAUGCUGACAUAAGUAACGAUAAAGCGGGUGAAAAGCCCGCUCGCCGGAAGACCAAGGGUUCCUGUCCAACGUUAAUCGGGGCAGGGUGAGUCGACCCCUAAGGCGAGGCCGAAAGGCGUAGUCGAUGGGAAACGGGUUAAUAUUCCCGUACUUGGUGUUACUGCGAAGGGGGGACGGAGAAGGCUAUGUUGGCCGGGCGACGGUUGUCCCGGUUUAAGCGUGUAGGUGUGUGUUCCAGGUAAAUCCGGUUCACUUUAACACUGAGGCGUGACGACGAGGCACUACGGUGCUGAAGCAACAAAUGCCCUGCUUCCAGGAAAAGCCUCUAAGCAUCAGGUAACAUCAAAUCGUACCCCAAACCGACACAGGUGGUCAGGUAGAGAAUACCAAGGCGCUUGAGAGAACUCGGGUGAAGGAACUAGGCAAAAUGGUGCCGUAACUUCGGGAGAAGGCACGCUGACAUGUAGGUGAAGUGAUUUACUCACGGAGCUGAAGUCAGUCGAAGAUACCAGCUGGCUGCAACUGUUUAUUAAAAACACAGCACUGUGCAAACACGAAAGUGGACGUAUACGGUGUGACGCCUGCCCGGUGCCGGAAGGUUAAUUGAUGGGGUCAGCGCAAGCGAAGCUCCUGAUCGAAGCCCCGGUAAACGGCGGCCGUAACUAUAACGGUCCUAAGGUAGCGAAAUUCCUUGUCGGGUAAGUUCCGACCUGCACGAAUGGCGUAAUGAUGGCCAGGCUGUCUCCACCCGAGACUCAGUGAAAUUGAACUCGCUGUGAAGAUGCAGUGUACCCGCGGCAAGACGGAAAGACCCCGUGAACCUUUACUAUAGCUUGACACUGAACAUUGAGCCUUGAUGUGUAGGAUAGGUGGGAGGCUUUGAAGUGUGGACGCCAGUCUGCAUGGAGCCGACCUUGAAAUACCACCCUUUAAUGUUUGAUGUUCUAACGUGGACCCGUGAUCCGGGUUGCGGACAGUGUCUGGUGGGUAGUUUGACUGGGGCGGUCUCCUCCUAAAGAGUAACGGAGGAGCACGAAGGUUGGCUAAUCCUGGUCGGACAUCAGGAGGUUAGUGCAAUGGCAUAAGCCAGCUUGACUGCGAGCGUGACGGCGCGAGCAGGUGCGAAAGCAGGUCAUAGUGAUCCGGUGGUUCUGAAUGGAAGGGCCAUCGCUCAACGGAUAAAAGGUACUCCGGGGAUAACAGGCUGAUACCGCCCAAGAGUUCAUAUCGACGGCGGUGUUUGGCACCUCGAUGUCGGCUCAUCACAUCCUGGGGCUGAAGUAGGUCCCAAGGGUAUGGCUGUUCGCCAUUUAAAGUGGUACGCGAGCUGGGUUUAGAACGUCGUGAGACAGUUCGGUCCCUAUCUGCCGUGGGCGCUGGAGAACUGAGGGGGGCUGCUCCUAGUACGAGAGGACCGGAGUGGACGCAUCACUGGUGUUCGGGUUGUCAUGCCAAUGGCACUGCCCGGUAGCUAAAUGCGGAAGAGAUAAGUGCUGAAAGCAUCCAAGCACGAAACUUGCCCCGAGAUGAGUUCUCCCUGAGACUUUAGGUCUCCUGAAGGAACGUUGAAGACGACGACGUUGAUAGGCCGGGUGUGUAAGCGCAGCGAUGCGUUGAGCUAACCGGUACUAAUGAACCGUGAGGCUUAACCUUACAACGCCGAAG
rnacentral:rRNA from 1 species